GCUUAUUCUCAGGGCGGGGUGUAAUUCCCCACCGGCGGUAAAUCGGCGUCAUGCCGAAAGCCCGCGAGCGCUUCAGACCUCCCGGUUUGAAGGUCAGCAGACCCGGUGUAACUCCGGGGCCGACGGUUAAAGUCCGGAUGGGAGAGAGUAACG
rnacentral:ncRNA from 1 species